UUGGCCCAUUCCUCCUGACAGAGCUGGUGUAACUGAGUCAGGUUUGUAAGCCUCCUUGCUCGCACAAAGUUUUUCAGUUCUGCCCACAAUUUCAAAAGGAUUGAGGUCAGGGCUUUGUUAUGGCCACUCCAAUACCUUGACAUUGUUGUCCUUGAGCCGUUUUGCCACUAUGCUUGGGGUCAUUGUCCAUUCGGAAGACCCAUUUGCGACCAAGCUUUAACUUCCUGACUGAUUUCUUGAGAUGUUGCUUCAAUAUAUCCACAUCAUUUUCUCUCCUCAUGAUGCCAUCUAUUUUGUGAAGUGUACCAGUCCCUCCUGCAGCAAUGCACCCCCACAACAUGUUGCCACCCCCGUGCUUAACGGUUGGGAUGGUGUUCUUCGGGCUUGCAAGUCUCCCCCUUUUUCCUCCAAAACAUAACAAUGGUCAUUAUGGCCAAACGGUUCUGUUUUUGUUUCAUCAGACCAGAGGACAUUCCUCCUAAAAUUACAAUCUUUGUCCCAUGUGCAGUUGAAAACCGUAGUCUGGCUUUUUAUGGCGGUUUUGGAGCAUUGGCUUCUUCCUUGCUGAGCGGCCUUUCGAGUUAUGUUGAUAUAGGACUCGUUUUACUGUGGAUAUAGAUACUUUUGUACCUGUUUCCUCCAGCAUCUUCACAAGGGAUUGUUUGGCACUUUUCGCACCAACGUGCGAUUGUCUCCUUCCUGAGCGGUAUGACUGCUACGUGGUCCCAUGGUGUUUAUACUUGCGUACUAUUGUUUGUACAGAUGAACGUGCUACCUUCAGGUGUUUGGAAAUUGCUCCCAAGGAUGAACCAGACUUGUGGAGGUCUACAAUUGUUUUCUGAGGUCUUGGCUGAUUUCUUUGCUUUUUCCCAUGAUGUCAAGCGAAGAGGCACUGAGUUUGAAGGUAGGCCUUGAAAUACAUCCACACUCCAAUUGUCUUAGGCUAAUUGACAUCAUUUAUCAGAAGCUUCUAAAGCCAUGACAUCAUUUUCUGGAAUUUUCCAAGCUGUUUAAAUGCACAGUCAACUUAGUGUAUGUAAACUUCUGACCCACUGGAAUUGUGAUACAGUGAAUUGUAAGUGAAAUAAUCUGUCUGUAAGCAAUUGUUGGAAACAUUACUUGUGUCAUGCACAAAGUAAUGUCCUAACCGACUUGCCAAAACUAUAGUUUAUAAACAAGAAAUGUAUGGAGUGGUUGAAAAACAAGUUUUAAUGACUCCAAUCUAAGUGUAUGUAAACUUCUGACUUCAACUGUAUAUAUACACACAGAAACAAAGCAUUUACCUUUCAAAAUCAAGCUUAUGUCAGAUUCACACAUUUGUACAUCUAUGACUCUGCACUGACUAUGCCAUGUAGCUUGACUGUGCUACACUUCUAUGCUGUGCUCGAGUGGGCCGAUACACUGACUUGCCCUUGUACACUGGCAGGGUACCACCACUGGUUUAGGUAAUGCCCUAUCAUGCUGUAGGUUAAGGAAUUACUUUAGAACAUCACAAAGUUCAUCUGGAAGACUGACGCAGGCACUUUUUCUCUUCUCUGUGUGAAUCUACAGCACUUGCUGUGUUGCUGCAUAGAUGGUACUGUAUUUCCGAUCAACUACUGAACUAUUACCCCAAUUGUAAAGGGGUGUUUUCAGGAUGCUGGUUAUGAUUUCAAUAUUGAAGGACAUUGUUUUAGUACCUACUUACAGUAUCAUACCCUAUGCCAGUUUAGAUUGUCGUAGACAUAUUCCAGGAUUUUGAAGAUUUAACUAUCUGUGUUGUGUUCCUUAGGCACCAAAUGGAAGAGAAACUCAUAUAAAAACCUGUUUAGCCCAUAUUUUAGAAAUCUGCUCUGCAUGUUGGGUGUUAGUAGAACUGCACGAGUGUGGUUUUUAAAGAGGAAAUCAUCAAGUCAGUAUUUAUCGGUGUGGUUCUCUUGGGCUCAACCAUUGCCUUCAUGAGGGAAAAGCAACAACAUCAAACUGUUUAAUAGGUAAUAAUGUUACUUUUACUUUUGUGCGAAUCCUUGAAGGGCAAGCACCACUGUCUAUCACUUGGCUUGCCUGAACAAAGACACACAGCUUUAUGCCCACAUUCUCUACCACUUGAACAUCUUCUGAGAUGAUUUUUGACUGUUAACCAUUGUCACCUAUGUCAAAUAUAUAUUCUUCAAUUUAAAUGUAUGAAUAAAAAUGUUUGUAGUUGGA